rnacentral:rRNA from 1 species
UGCCAGCAGCCGCGGUAAUUCCAGCUCCAAUAGCGUAUAUUAAAGUUGUUGUGGUUAAAAAGCUCGUAGUUGGAUCUCAACAGCCUUGAAGCGGUUAACUUUGUAGUUUUACUGCUUUAUAGGCUGUGCUUUUGCUGGAGGUUUAGGGGUGUUCUUGAUCGAGUGUCUCUGGAUGCCAGCAGGUUUACUUUGAAAAAAUUAGAGUGCUCAAAGCAGGCUAAAAUGCCUGAAUAUUCGUGCAUGGAAUAAUAGAAUAGGAUGUCGAUCCUAUUUUGUUGGUUUUCGGGACUCGACAUAAUGAUAAAUAGGGACAGUCGGGGGCAUUUGUAUUCAAACGACAGAGGUGAAAUUCUUGGACCGUUUGAAGACAAACUACUGCGAAAGCAUUUGCCAAGAAUGUUUUCAUUAAUCAAGAACGAAAGUUAGAGGUUCGAAGGCGAUUAGAUACCGCCCUAGUUCUAACCAUAAACGAUGCCAGCUAGCGAUCUGCCUGCGUUUUUACUGUAGACUGGGCAGGAAGCUUCCGGGAAACCAAAGCAUUUGGGUUCCAGGGGAAGUAUGGUUGCAAAGCUGAAACUUAAAGGAAUUGACGGAAGGGCACCACCAGGAGUGGAGCCUGUGGCUUAAUUUGACUCAACACGGGAAAUCUCACCAGGCCCGGACACUGGAAGGAUUGACAGAUUGAUAGCUCUUUCUUGAUUCGGUGGGUGGUGGUGCAUGGGCCGUUCUUAGUUGGUGGAGUGAUUUGUCUGGUUAAUUCCGAUAACGAACGAGACUCUGUCCUGCUAAAUAGUUUCUACUUCUCUUUUGAGUAGAAAUUUCUUCUUAGAGGGACUGGUGACUCUUAGUCACACGAGAUUGAGCAAUAACAGGUCUGUGAUG